rnacentral:rRNA from 1 species
CACACCGCCCGUCGCUACUACCGAUUGAAUGAUUUAGUGAGGCCUUCCGGACUGGCGGUCUGGACUGGGCUCACUCGCCAUCACCCCAGCAAUGGGGGGCGGUGGACUCGCAUGACGAGCCGGGAAAGAUGUGCAAACUUGAUCAUUUAGAGGAAGUAAAAGUCGUAACAAGGUUUCCGUAGGUGAACCUGCGGAAGGAUCAU